UGGAUGGACUUAGAGAUGAUCAUACUCAGUGAACCAUCAGGCAGAAGAAUUGGAGAGACCUGUUGGGUGCCUCCAGUGGACCAGUGUCCGGGAGCUGUCCACCUUGUCUGCUGCUGGACCCCAAGGGUCGGCAUCACCUGGAAACUUGUUAGAAAUGUAGAUUCUCCAGCCCUGCCCUAGACCUGCUGAAUCAGAAUCUGCCUUUGAACAAGAUCCCUGGGGGAUUCCUAUGAACACUAAAGUUCGAGAAGCAUUGGCCCAGGCUACGUGUGCAGGGUUCUCUUGGGCACACGUAUCCAGGAGUGGAUUUGCUGGGUCACAGUGGUGUUGCAGUACAGAGAGCUGCACUGGUCUACAUCUUUACCCACACCUGGUAUUGUCAGACUUUCUCAUUUUUGCCCGUCGAAUGGGAAUAAAGUGGCAACUCAUCACUGUCUGGACUUACCUCUCCCUGAUGACUAAUGAGGUCAGGCAACUCGUGUUUACCGGCCAUGUUUCCCUUCUGUGAAGUGCCCUGUUGGUGAUUUUUGCUCUUCUGGGCUCACUCAGCUCUACCCCUGCCUUUGCACUUGCUAUUCUCUCAGCCUGAAACAACUCCCCCCUUCACUGCCCAGUGUCAGUUCUUCCAGGAAGCCCUCCAUGACUGCUGCUCAGGCUGUGAGCCUCUUCAGCCUCACUGGCAGGAAAACUUGGUGUCACUGUCCCUUCAUUUCAUCUCCUGGAGGCUCUUCCUCACCAAAGAGAAGGCAAACCUUACGGCUUGGCCCCCACAGAGUUUUGAUAUUUUUUUUUUCAACUUAGUUCCAUCAUUUAAAAUUUGGAAAAUUUUGUAUUUUAAAAAAUCUGAAAAAUUUUGUAUUUUAAAAAAUCGGAAUUGCUGAUUUCUCUUCAAAAAAACAAGAUGUAACCCCACUGCGCCUCUUUUUCUACAUGGCAACACUCAGCUGGUGCUGAGUAGGGGCCGCCCCUGCCAGACCACGUGUCACAGUCCCCACACCUCCAUGCUCACCGCCUGCUUAAUGACCUGCCUGGGCUCUGUGAGCUUUUAAGUUUGUGACGCUUGCCUAAGCACACCAGUUGUUUAUUCCUCUAAAUCUCUCCCGUCCUUUUCCUUCUCCCCAUAACUCUGUCUCUGUCCCCCCUCAGGCCUUCACACCUGUCCCCUGGACUGUCACACCAGCCUCCCCAUGACCUUGCUUUUCUAGUCUUGCCCCUUCCAGUCCACUGACCGUGUCACAACCCCACUCAAGAACCAACAAUGGCUCCCCAUUGCCUUCCCAGGCAUCUCCUGACUUUCUAAAAAAAAAAAGCAGGGACUUCCCUGGUGGUCCAGUGGUUAAG